rnacentral:rRNA from 1 species
AACGAACGCUGGCGGCAGGCUUAACACAUGCAAGUCGAACGAUAUAGUGGCAGACGGGUGAGUAACGCGUGGGAACGUGCCUUUCACUACGGAAUAGCUCUUGGAAACGAGUGGUAAUACCGUAUACGCCCUCCGGGGGAAAGAUUUAUCGGUGAAAGAUCGGCCCGCGUUAGAUUAGCUUGAUGGUGGGGUAAUGGCCUACCAUGGCGACGAUCUAUAGCUGGUCUGAGAGGAUGAUCAGCCACACUGGGACUGAGACACGGCCCAGACUCCUACGGGAGGCAGCAGUGGGGAAUCUUGCACAAUGGGCGAAAGCCUGAUGCAGCCAUGCCGCGUGAAUGAUGAAGGCCUUAGGGUUGUAAAAUUCUUUCAACGGUGACGAUAAUGACGGUAGCCGUAGAAGAAGCCCCGGCUAACUUCGUGCCAGCCGCCGCGGUAACAC